AAACGUAAUAUUGCACUAGUAUAGUAUUCUACAUCAUUGCGGUUUUAUAAUAAUAACAAGUUGAAAAAAUGAAUUUCAAAAGUAUUUUUUGUAUUGUAGCCACCAUAUUUUCCAUAAUGAUGUAUGCGUAUGCGGGUACAGAACCAGGUUCAGAAGUUAAACUUAAUGGUACGGAUCCUGAUACCAAACCAGAUCCGUCACCACCACGACCAAUAGUUUCAACAGGAACACCAAACCCGCUUGCUGACAACAAGUAAAUUUACCAACAAAGCUGAAGUAUCCAAGAUCUGUCUCACAUUCUAAAAAUACAUAUGCUUAAUUGUAUAUUGUAAAAUGUUCAUCUUUGUUUAUCAUAACUGUGUUUCAACCUUCCGAUUUUUCUAAUAACAAUGUACUCCAAAUCACUUAUUUUGUUACCUAUCAUAUAAAUUAUAUUUUAUCUAUUACAUAUACCUGUCUACCAAUAAAAAUAAUAUUAACUGUACAAGUAAAA